CCAUGUGGGCUUACAAGGAGAAAUCAGCUGUCUGCAACCCAGAAGAGGGCCCUCAACACAGGCCAACUAAGCUGGCACCUUGACCCUGGAUUUCCAGCCUCCAGAACAGGCGGACCCAAGGCUGGAACCCAGGGUGCUGAUUCCCCAGAACUGUCAUCCGAUGCAGCUGCCCUAUGGAGAAUGAAAUCGUGGGACCUUCCACCAUUCUUUCAUUACGACAUUUGGGCAUCUUCAACUUCAUUUUUAUGGAAAUCUUCAUCAUGUUCAAUACCCCAGAUCCAUAUCUACAGAACAUUGAACAAGCUCCAGGUAUCCUUGCCACAGCACUAAAUCUCAAAUCAUGGCACAUUCCCCAUAUCAAUAAAUUCUUCCCUAUCCAACGUAUCUUCUGUGUCCUUGAUCCCUCUCCCCGUCCAACACUCUCAGGAUCCAUUAUCACAUCAUGUUCCCCUAGAUCUUGUCAGUAUACAUAAGCCAGAUCAAAUAAUUCCCUUGGCAUGUAAAGUAUUUUUUUUUCCAAAAGCAGAGCUUAUACUUUCUCACUUGGGCUGUGCUGAUUCCUUACUCUGUUUAUUGGCCUGAAAGCAAUGCGAGGGGAUAGGAAAGAUACUGACAAAAAUAAGCAUCAUCUUUUAAGGCACUUGCCUUCAGAUGAGAUCAUUACGUGGUGUCCAGGCAAGGCGGGCAGUUUUCUGGG